AUGAGCUAGUUGGUGAGGUAAGGGCUCACCAUGGCGACGAUCAGUCGCCGGCAUGAGAGCGUGAACGGCCUCCCAGGUACUGAGACACGGUCCAGAGUCGUAUGGGAGGCAGCAGUGGGGAAUAUUGCCCAAUGGAGGGAACUGCGAUGCAGCGACGCUGUGUGAGUGAAGAAGGUUUUCGGAUCGUAAAACUCUGUCCUUGGUGAAGAAAAGGCCGGUACCCAAGGAGGAAGCCCCGGCUAACUACGUGCCAGCAGCCGCGGUAAUACGUAGGGGGCGAGCGUUGUCCGGAUUUACUGGGCGUAAAGGGUGAGUAGGCGGUUAUAUAUGUCAGGUGUAAAAAGCUAUGGCUUAACCAUAGUAAGCACUUGAAACUGUAUGACUUGAGUGCAGGAGAGGUAAGCGGAAUUCCUAGUGUAGCGGUGAAAUGCGUAGAUAUUAGGAGGGACUCCGGUGGCGAAGGCGGCUUACUGGAUUGUAACUGACGCUGAGUCACGAAAGCGUGGGUAGCAAACAGGAUUAGAUACCCUGGUAGUCCACGCAGUAAACGAUGAAUACUAGGUGCUGGGUAGACAUAUUCAGUGCCCGAGUAAACACA
rnacentral:rRNA from 1 species